GUGGGGAAUUUUGGACAAUGGGCGCAAGCCUGAUCCAGCAAUGCCGCGUGCAGGAAGAAGGCCUUCGGGUUGUAAACUGCUUUUGUACGGAACGAAACGGUCCGGGUUAAUACCCUGGGCUAAUGACGGUACCGUAAGAAUAAGCACCGGCUAACUACGUGCCAGCAGCCGCGGUAAUACGUAGGGUGCAAGCGUUAAUCGGAAUUACUGGGCGGAAAGCGUGCGCAGGCGGUUUUGUAAGACAGGCGUGAAAUCCCCGGGCUCAACCUGGGAAUUGCGCUUGUGACUGCAAGGCUGGAGUGCGGCAGAGGGGGAUGGAAUUCCGCGUGUAGCAGUGAAAUGCGUAGAUAUGCGGAGGAACACCGAUGGCGAAGGCAAUCCCCUGGGCCUGCACUGACGCUCAUGCACGAAAGCGUGGGGAGCAAACAGGAUUAGAAACCCCAGUAGUCC
rnacentral:rRNA from 1 species